GGCUAACGCUGGCGGCGUGUCUUAGCCAUGCAAGUCGAGCGGACUUAUGGGGUAACUUAUAAGUCAGCGGCGGACGGCGGAGUAACACGUAGCUAACCUACCCUCUGGACGGGGGAUAACCUACCGAAAGGUGGGCUAAUACCCGAUGUAGUCAUCCUGUAUAGGGGUGAUGAAAGGUGGGCUUCUGUUUACAAGCUCAUGCUGGAGAGGGGGCUGCGGCCUAUCAGGUAGUUGGUAGGGUAAUAGCCUACCAAGCCGAUGACGGGUAGCCGGCCUGAGAGGGUGACCGGCCCGAGGGGCACUGAGAUACGGGUCCCACUCCUACGGGAGGCAGCAGGCUAGAAAUUUGGGCAAUGGGGGAAACCCUGACCCAGUGACGCCGCGUGCAGGAAGGAGCCCUUCGGGGUGUAAACUGCUGUCGUGUAGGGAGAAGGGUACUAAGGUGAACAAUCUUAGUACUUGACGGUACUACAGGAGGAAGCCCAGGCUAACCUCGUG
rnacentral:rRNA from 1 species